rnacentral:lncRNA from 1 species
GUGUCACGAUUAUUAAAGAGAAUUAACGCCUCACUAAUUUCAUAUUUAUGAUCUGAUAAUUUAGCACCAUAAAAAUCGGGAUCACGUACUCGACGGUUACAUCAGAAUCAUCCAUAAAAAGGAGAUAAGUGAGUAAUACUGGUAAGCCAUCUCGGGGCUAGAACUCUGCUAUUUUCUACAUUCAAAAACUACUGUUCAUCAAUUUUUUUCUCUG